UGUGACAGAAUACAUUGUGAAACAUACUUCUUGCAAAUCUAGGUAUUCUACAUUUCUAAAUCGCGAGGUCUUAUGAAGAGAAAUUAAUCAUAUGGUGAAUGGUAAACAUAAAAUUAAACUAUUUUUUUUCUUUUGUGAUAUACAACUGUUAUCUCAGAAGAGCCUUCAUAUACCCCUGUGGCCCUAUCCCUAAUCUUUAAGACAUGGCUUGAAAUAAUAAUGUGGAUUAAAGCAAAUAAGAUAUGUAUCGCUUGAAAGUAACAAUAUAAUCGGUAUAGAAACCGAAAAUCUUGCUACUAUUCAGUCUCACAAUCCCACAUACACGAAAGGAAGAAUGUUGGAAUUAGAACAGAGAACAAAUCAACUUUUAUCAUAACAGCUUGUU
rnacentral:lncRNA from 1 species